GUACAUGGACUCUUCACACUUCGACCAUAAUACAUAAGGCACACCGCCACGUCAUAGGAGGAAGUUCAACAUCUCCUUAUCUGUCCAGAUGUCCUUCUACACCACCAUGACAGAGAGCAUCCUCACCGGGAACAUCACCACAGUGCUGAGGCAACAAAGCCUAGUAGAGGGUCACAAGGUCCCUGCAGGACAUCUACACCAUGUGGUGCAGGAGCAGGUGGUGCAGAGUAUCUACGGCAGGCGGUGCAGGAUCUACAUCAAGUGGCACAACCACAUGGCCAGAACUGACAAGCUAAGGAGCAACAUUUUUUCUCCAAGCCAUGAACGCCACCAUAACCACCAACUCCUUCUAGCUCCUCUGCACAUCUCCAUUGUCCCCGUUUUUUCGGCGCGGUGACGUCACGGAGACGCCGAGCUCCGAUUGGCCGCCCGUGUGGACGCAGCGGAGCUUUAAAGGGGCCGCAUGCAACGGAGGCGCAAAGAAGGAGCUCGAGCAUCUCCAUAUCAUCCAAACCCUCUCUCCAUCCCUCCAUCACCCCAUCCCCGGGCGCUCCAGCAGACUCUCUCUCUUUAUCUUUCUGUUUCUCUUUCUCUCUCUCUCUCUCUCUCUCUCUCUGUCUAUCUCUUGGUCUCUCUCUCUCCAUCUUUCUCACUCUGUUGCUUUCUGUCCCUCUUUGUCUCUCACUCUCUCUUUCUCUCCAUCUCUCUCACUCUCUCUUUCCCUAUCGCUUUCUCUCGGUUGCCGUGGUUACAGCCACUCAUGGUAGAUAGGAGAAGGUGCCGGAGAUCAAACAGCUGUUGUGUCCAGAUGUCGUUCUCCUUCUCCCGUUGCUAUGGACCUUUGUUCUACUCUGAGUACAGGUGCAGCACCCCCGAACACACACACACACACACACACACACACACACACACACACACACAAAGAAAACAUGAUGAGGACAUGAUGUCUGGCUUUGUGCUGUACACAUCAGCGCAUCAGUGGGGGAAGAGAGGAUGAUGAUGGGGGAGAGGAAUAUAAGGAGACAUGGGGGAGAAAAUAAGAGUAAAUAAAAGAGGGAGCAGGAGAGAGAGAGAAAGAAAGAUAAUAGAGAAUAAAUAAAAAACAGAAAAUCGGAGAGAGGAUUAGAGAGAGCGAGGAAAGACAAGGGGAGAAAAGAAUGAGAGAUGGAGAUGAAGAAUGAAAGAGAGAUAAACAGUGAUAACAGAAAAUAAGAGAGGGAUAAAUGGAGGAGAGGUAGGAAAACGACAGAAGGAAGAGAGAAGGUGAGAGAGAGGAAGAAAAAGAUGAGUGUGUAAAGGAGGUAGAGAGAGAAAGAUCGGAAAAGGUGAAGAGGAUAAGACAGGAAUGGAGGGCGACUGAAAAGAGGGGAAAAAAGAAAGUGAGAUAAAGGGAAAUAUUAAAUUGCUAAAAAAAAAAAAGACGGAGAGAGAGAUAGAUGAAGGGAAAGCACAGGGGGGGUUUAAAGGGACGACAAAUAAAGGGAGAGAUGAUUAAAAAAGAUAAAGUGAGAAACAUAAAACAAACAUGGCAAUGGAGAAAUAAUAACAAGAGUAACAUGGGGAGAGUGGUAGAAAAGGAAAAGAAAGAAAGAGAGAUAGCGGGAGAGAGGAUAGAGGUGCGUAACAGUGGGACAGAGGGAAACGAAUUAGAAAGUGGAGGAGAAUAAGAAAAAAGGAUGGGGGAAAUGAAAAGAGAGAAAGUAAGAAAAAGGGAAGGACAGGCGUAGAAUGAAAGAGAGAUGAGAGAGAAAAGAGAUGGAAAAAUUAGAGUAAGAAUAAAAUGAGGCAGAAAAAGAAAAGAAAGAGAGAGAGAUCGAUAGGGGGGAAACGAUAAAGGUGCAUAAAAGAGACUGAGGGAGGAAACGGAAAGGAAAAAAGAGAAAACGUGAAAGAAAGAAGUUCAAAAAGACGGAAAAAUAGAAGUGAAGAACGAGUUGGGCAGAGCGGAAGAACAGGGCAAGAAGAAAGAGGGAGAGAGAGAGAGGAAGAAAGGCAAAGGUGAAAGAGAGAGUGAGGUGAAAAAAAAGGAGAGAAGAGAAAAUGAUGAAGAAAAUAGAAAGAAGAGAGAAAAAGGGUAAAGAGACUGAGAGCAAAAAGAAGUAGAGAAAAAAGAGAAAAUAUAUAAAUGAGAGCGUGUGUGUGUGUGUGUGUGUGUGUGUGUGUGUGUGUGUGUGUGUGUGUGACAGAGAGAGAGAGAGAGA
ensembl:lncRNA